UACGGGGGGGGCAAGCGUUGUUCGGAAUUACUGGGCGUAAAGCGCGUGUAGGCGGCAACGCAAGUCGGGCGUGAAAUCCCACGGCUCAACCGUGGAAGUGCACUCGAAACUGCGUAGCUAGAGUCCUGGAGAGGAAGGUGGAAUGCUUGGUGUAGAGGUGAAAUUCGUAGAUAUCAAGCGGAACACCGGUGGCGAAGGCGGCCUUCUGGACAGUGACUGACGCUGAGACGCGAAAGCGUGGGGAGCAAACAGG
rnacentral:rRNA from 1 species